UAAUAUGGCUCAGUCGGUAGAGCGACGCACUCGUAAUGCGUAGGUCGGGGGUUCGAUUCCCCCUAUUA
rnacentral:tRNA from 1 species